rnacentral:rRNA from 1 species
UACGUAGGGCGCAAGCGUUAUCCGGAAUUAUUGGGCGUAAAGAGCGCGUAGGCGGCGCUGUACGACCCGUGUGAAAGCCCCCGGCUCAACUGGGGAGGGUCACGGGUAACGGCAGUGCUCUGAGUGCAGGAGAGGGAAGUGGAACUCCGGGAGUAGCGGUGAAAUGCGUAGAGACCCGGAGGAACACCGGUGGCGAAGGCGGCUUCCUGGUCUGCAACUGACGCUGUGGCGCGAAAGCUAGGGGAGCAAACGGG